rnacentral:lncRNA from 1 species
UUUGAAGAAAGUGUGGGAGGGGCAAAUCUAGACCACAGGUGAAGAAAAUGGGAUACAACAACCAGGAGAGGAUGAAAAUAUGAGAUGAAAAAUAUGGAGGAGAGAAUAAUUCGGAAGUUGCAACUUCGAGCAAGGAGGACAAAUUGCUUGUCUCUUUGACUUGAUGUACAGGAGUUAGAAAAUUAGAACAAAAACAAAACAAAGAGACCUCCACAGACAGGACAUCAGUAGAAAUGGCAAGAAGGAGUCCAUUGAAGAGAAUACUCAAGGAGAGGUGCUGGAGGUAAGGUUGCUGUGGUACAGC